CCAGCCCGCUCAGAAACUCAAAUGAAGUUGACGGGGCCCGCACAAGCGGUGGAGUAUGUGGUUUAAUUCGAUGCAACGCGAAGAACCUUACCUGGUCUUGACAUCCCGGAGACCCUUAGGAAACUAGGGGGUGCUUCCAUCUGGAAGAAUCUGGAGACAGGUGCUGCAUGGCUGUCGUCAGCUCGUGUCGUGAGAUGUUGGGUUAAGUCCCGCAACGAGCGCAACCCUUGCCUUUAGUUGCCAGCAGUUCGGCUGGGCACUCUAAAGGGACUGCCGGUGUUAAACCGGAGGAAGGUGGGGAUGACGUCAAGUCCUCAUGGCCUUUAUGACCAGGGCUACACACGUACUACAAUGGCCGAUACAAAGGGCAGCGACACUGCGAGGUGAAGCCAAUCCCGUAAAAUCGGUCUCAGUCCGGAUUGGAGUCUGCAACUCGACUCCAUGAAGUUGGAAUCGCUAGUAAUCGUGGAUCAGCAUGCCACGGUGAAUACGUUCCCGGGCCUU
rnacentral:rRNA from 1 species